rnacentral:rRNA from 1 species
UACGGAGGGUGCGAGCGUUGUCCGGAAUCAUUGGGCGUAAAGGGCGCGUAGGUGGCCCGGUCAGUCCGUGGUGAAAGCUCGGGGCUCAACCCCGCGUCGGCCGUGCGAACUGUUUUGCUUGAGCACUGUAGAGGCAGGCGGAAUUCCGGGUGUAGCGGUGGAAUGCGUAGAGAUCCGGAAGAACACCGGUGGCGAAGGCGGCCUGCUGGGCAGUAGCUGACACUGAGGCGCGACAGCGUGGGGAGCAAACAGG